rnacentral:tRNA from 1 species
UCCCUGCUGGUCUAGUGGUUAAGGACUCAACAUUGUCACUGCUGUGGCUUGGGUUCAAUCCCUGGCCUGGGAA